rnacentral:lncRNA from 1 species
AACUCGGCCGCGUCCAACGCGCAGCACAAGCUCAUCCUCCGGAUCCUGGACCACGACCAUUUUUCCAGCGACGACUCGCUCGGGGAAGCGACGUGAGUGCCCGCCUGCCCGUCAACCAUGCCCAACCGCUAGUCCUAACUGGUCCGCCCUCCGGAACAGUUGACCGCGCAACCGCCCGCCCUAACCGUGGGAUUCCCCAUCAACCUCCGCAAAAUUUUGCAGGAUCGACGUGACGGGCAUCAUCAGCCUGGGCGCGGAGCGCGGCACGUACACCCAGAGCGCGGCGAAGCACAGCGUCGUCCUCGCCGACAACACGUUCCACGGCGAGAUCAAGGUCGGCUUCACCUUCACCGCCACCCAGGUGCGGUAGAGUUUCGGUCAUCAUGCGCGGCCGGUGUUUGUGCCCACAUGCAUUGUUGAGAUUUAUCUGCAUACCGAUGUGUGGUUUCAGGUUCAGGAAGAUGGAGAGGAAAUCGGAGGCUGGAGGUACAGCAGCUUUAAUCAGUAGGCGUGGUGACCUCUGAAGUUCUUUAGUUGGUUGGUUUGUAGUGAUUCGGGUUGGGUGUAGCUUUUGUUUAUACUUAGCCCCUACUCCUGGGUCCCCACUUCCUGAGUAGGGGGCUCUAAUUUUGUGUUCAA